UACAUCAUUGAUCAUCAAAUCAGAAGAAACAAGGAGUUGUUUUAGUCUUCACUGGAAGCACACCUAUGUGACCUUGAGCAAGUGUAUUCAGCCAUUCUUGGUCUCCCUUUCCCCAUCUGUAAAAUGUGUGGUUUGUUGAUGACUGGUCUGUGGAUCUGUUGCAUCAGAAUCACCUGGAAAGCUGUUGAAAAUGCUAAUUUUCAGGUCCUAGCCCACUCACGAAUAUCUUUGCAGUUGGGCCAGGGUAUCUGUAGUUUCAUACACACACAGACACACAAGUGUGUGCGUGCACGCACAUACAUACAGAGUCACUCCCAAGUGACUUGGAUCCACAGCAGGGUUUGGGACACACUGGAUUAAACAAUCUUCCUGCUUGCCUGAAUUCAGAGGCAAAAAAAUAGCCCUGGGAAGUAUCCUUUAAUAGAAGGCCAGGAAAAAGGAUCAGCCUCUUUGCAGAAGCAGGUUUGGUGCUUCAGGGAGCUACCAAGACUAUCUUCUUAAGAAACAAUCCCCACUUCCCAGGCUUCUCUUUCAUUCUACCUGGGCAUUCAGUGUAUAAUGCAUAUGUAGCCUACAAAGUCAAAGAACUGGCUUUCUGUGCAUUUUAUUUAAAUUAGUUUUAAGGAAAGUGGUUAAAGAGGAGAACUGAGGUAAAUGAAAGUUAAUCCACUUAUUUUACUUGCACUCUGCCUUUUAAGAAACCCUCUUAACUAUAUUCUGAGUGCCAAUAAAUAACAAGGAAA
rnacentral:lncRNA from 10 species